rnacentral:misc_RNA from 1 species
UCCUCUUUACAGAGGCAGUUUGUUUCGAGUUCCCGGCUUUACCCGCUGGUAACAAAACAUGAGGGUUGCGCUCGUUGCGGGACUUAACCCAACAUUUCACAACACGAGCUGACGACAGCCAUGCACCACCUGUGUAUCACCCUCGAAGGCGACCGCUUUUCGGCGGCUUGCAGAUACAUGUCAAGCCCUGGUAAGGUUCUUCGCGUUGCAUCGAAUUAAGCCAUAUGCUCCACCGCUUGUGCGGGCCCCCGCCAAUUCCUUUGAGUUUCAACCUUGCGGCCGUAGUCCCCAGGCGGUUCACUUAAUGCGUUAGCUGCGGCACCGAAGGAAACCCCCCGACACCUAGUGAACAUCGUUUAUAGCUAAGACUAC